AUUGGGGAAGGAUCUCUGCCUGGAGAGCUAUUCCUUGUGGAGCUUUUCCCCUGUGAACUGAGCCCUUUGGAGAUGAGCCUGGGACACCGGAGUAUUUCAGCUGUUCAACCAAAGGUCAGCAGAGGGUGUCCCCAGCUGAGCAGUAGAGGCUGGAUAUAAAGUGGACUCCUGUCACAGUGGCAGUAGAAACCUGGUGCUGAGCAGGAAGAAGUCAGGGUACAGGAAUUAGCAGGAGUCACCGGGAAGGGCCUCUCGUCUCUACAGAAGCCCUUCUGGAAUGCUGCACUGCUCCUGCACGCAGCCAGGCGCCUGUUCUGUUCUCAAGAAGGAGGGAGGCUGCACUAAGGUGACUGAAGCGGCCUUUCAAAACCUCUCCACGAUGCAAAUGUAGAGGGACUAAGCGGGAAUGACAAGGAGACUCAUUUCGGAGUGAUGUGUCUGUCCCAAACGCCUGCUAACGCCCAGCCGAGCAGCCGAGGAAGGAGCUGCCACUUCGGUGCCCCCACCAGAUGGCACUGCGGUAAAGCACUGUUCGGAAGGAGGAUUUACGACCGUCCUCACGUCCUGCACGGAGCCUAAAUGUCAAACUUUCAGGGAUCUGUAGUGCUGGGAGAGUAGAUGGUAUUUAUGGCAAGAGUAUUGAUCUCAGAUGGAACCGAGUCUGUAGUAAAUGGUAUCUCAGAGGGUUUGGCUGUUGCUACAACUGUGAACAGUUCAUUUAGUGCUACCGUCGGAUACGACUGUAAUGAUACAUCUGAAGAACUAGAACUAAUGAAGAAACCUCCAGUGCGACUGAAGUACUUAGGAAUAAAGCCUUAUUGCUUGACAAGGAGCUGUGAUACCACGAUUAGAAACCUGCAGCAUCGUAAGCAAUUUUGUGCAGGUAGAGCCUUCACAUCCAUGGUCCCGAGAGAAGGGAAAAUGUGAGGCUCAGUUCAGCCAUCACCCCAAGCUGCUUUGUUUCCCUGGACCAACACUUCAUUCCCAGUCAGGCAGGUCCCCUUUGUGAAAGACUAUUCUGUGUUUCUCAGGAAUGAAAGCAAAACCGCUUAUUUUUAUUGUAAAUCAUAUUUUAAAAGCCAUAAUGCUAACAUGAGCCAUCUGAAAUUAACGCUGAUAUGCCUUCACAAUAGCAGGAUAAUUAAUAUCAGUGUUUAUAUAGUAUCUCUCCUUGCACAAGAUCCCCCAGGACUUUGCAGAUAACACCCUGCAGAAGCUAUUGUAGCCAUCAUAUAAAGCAUCUGGUCCACGGCAGUUUAAAAAUCCCAUUUUAAUUUCAACUCUGCUUCCCCCUAAAGUCAAUGGACUGUUUCGCCUUCCAGAGUUGAGUUAAGCCCUUUGUUUUCAUUUGGUCCUUGAAAAGAAAGGAAUUGAAUUAUGAUAGUUUUGUUCAGCACCUCCCAGAGACCAUGUUUUAAUUGCACACUCUCUGCACAGGUAGCUGAUGGGCACAUACAAUGAAUGUGGCAGGGAUUUUGAGCAGGUGACUUAUAACCUACUUGGAAAGAGUGUCUCAGGGUAAUGGGGGCAUCUGGACAUUCCAGAUAAUUCCAGCAAAGGCCUGAGCAAAAAAGCCCUGAAUGCAUGUGGUGACCUUACGAGUGGCUACAGAACUUGGCAAUGACAGAGACAAGAGAAAACAACCCCCCCUCAAAACUGUCUUUUCACUACAUAACCAUGAAAUGAUUUGAGACACUCCAACUUUAUUGGGUUAAUGAACUCAAAACCCAGGAUUCUUCAGUACUGAAUCAACCAGAGUCUACCAGCAAAGACCAAUCUGUGGGAAUUAAUGUGUGCAUAAAAAGAACCUUUAUGCUGCCUGGAGUCCUGUUGAUGAAGGCUAUGUUCCUCACGUUGUCUGUGCCAUCUCCUGAGACACCCAGCCCAAGGUAUUUGUCAGUAGGAAGGUGGGUGGGUAGAGGUCCUUAUGCUAUUCCUGCUGUUGCUGAGCCAUGCAGUGCAGUGGUGUGAGGCUGGCAGUGAUGGCUCUGCUUCCAGCAGUUCCUCCUCCUGCACAUGAGUGUGGAAUCACAUCCUUUGCACUCACACUGAACUCAGACAGGCAGAGCAAUGCCACCUCUCUCCUCCUCAAUACAAGGUAUUCAAGGCUUAUUUGCUUUAUUUAACAGCACAUAGGAAAGUUCUCAGAAGGUGCUAGGUAAGUCUUCCUACUUCUCUUAGAAUCAAAAGGUGCCACAGGAUUUUUUGGAUGCUAUAAAGGCUGAAGGCGGCCAUGUCAGAGACACACAGAUCUGAAGCCUUGGAGCAAAAUUUCCCUAUCUGUGCUGUCACUGCGUAUAUGAGAGGAUGGAAAGCAAGGGGAAGAGUUGCCUAGGAAGCAAUGGGAAGAAAGGAAACUUGAUUCUAAAGAGCAGGAUAGAAAAUGAACUGUGUAUUCAGAAAUGGGAGAUGAAGAUAAUAAACAGAAGAAUAAGCUGGCAAACUUUGUUAGAGUUGUAAAGUGCUCAUUUAAAUCUACUUUUGUUCCCCAUGAUUCACAGAAGUGAAAGUUUACCCCAGAUCCCUCAGUGUUCUCUGCAUGGCCCACUGCUAUAAGCUGCAGUGUUUGAGCCCCAUGGAACUGCUCUGCUUCAACUGGAAAUGUGUCCCAUAGAAAUGAGUGGGACUGCUUCUGCCUUCCCAAGCAGCCUGCAGUAAUGCACAUGGACAAGGCAAUUGCUGCGGUAGACAGUGUAUGACUGUCAAUGGAACCAUCUAUAUCCCACCCUAGGAUGUUUGAGAUUACUGUUAAGAUCUAGCAGGGUUGCUACAUCCCUGCAGACAGUGAACUGAAUGAAUUUUGCUUUUCUGGACAAUUUCCUUUGCUGCCCUCUUCUUAAAAUGCUAAAAGCCAUUUACAGAAUUUGCUGAGGGCAAGCACUGAUUCAAUUGCAUUGCUUUUGCUAUUAAAGACCUUAAGGCAAGACAGAAGUCAUCUUCUUUGCGUCCUUUUACAUCUUGCAGAUCAUGAAUCUCCACACAGCACUGAUUUGGAGAGCAGCGUAUUCAUUGCCUUUGUGUUGCAUAUGACGAGGUGCCUCAUUCUGCCUCAGGGGAUUCUGACAGGUGAC